rnacentral:rRNA from 1 species
CGGGUGAGUAACGCGUAAAGAACUUGCCUCAUAGUCUGGGACAACAUUUGGAAACGGAUGCUAAUACCGGAUAUUAUGCUUUCUUCGCAUGGAGGAAGUAUGAAAGCUAUAUGCGCUAUGAGAGAGCUUUGCGUCCCAUUAGCUAGUUGGUGAGGUAACGGCCCACCAAGGCGAUGAUGGGUAGCCGGCCUGAGAGGGUGAACGGCCACAAGGGGACUGAGACACGGCCCUUACUCCUACGGGAGGCAGCAGAC